UCUCCCCACAGAGAAAGUCAACACAGUUUGGCCUUUACUGAAGAUGACAAAACCCAUAUAUUUGGGCUCUUCAGUAAUCUAAUGAUUUUCAUGAAUGUAAAGGACAUCCACAGACCAACAUUUUACACAUCAACCAAUGUGCUCUUUGGUCCAAUAUUGAUAGGAAGCCACUGAGGAAAAACUGCAGACGAGAUGAACACCUCCAUCCACGUGCUUUAACUGACUACUUUGUGGCACAGGACUGGACACAAGACUGAACACAGGACACAAAGCCAAGAGAGCGACAAAGCAAAGAGAAACAUACAAAAGGAGUAACAGAGAUAUUUACAGAAGCUAAUAAAGGAGUACGAAAGAAACAUCUAAAAGAUAACAAAGAUGGAGACCCUGGAUCCCUCCGCUCUCCCAGGUGCCACCACCGCUGUGACCUAUGACUCCAAAUCAGAGAUGGUGACCCUACCAGGAGGGGUUGUCUCUGUGGCAGGCAUCACUGUGAUAACCGGGGGCGCUGAACUGUCCUGUGGCUCUUGCAUGCUAGCCUUUGGUGUUUGGGGCACUCUAAUUGGCCUAAGCGUGGUUGCCCUGGGUAUCUGGGACCAAUCAGUUCAGGUAGGGGGUCGGACCUCGCACCUCCUGGGGCUGGGAUUGGUGGUUCUGGCUAUCAGUUUUGGGGUUGUGGGCAGUGUGGUGGGCUUUCGCUUCCUGACGAAGGGGAGGAGAGAGAUAACGAGGGAGGAGAGGGAGGAUGGGAAGGUGGUGCUCAUAGGGGAGAGAGGGAGGAGUGUUAAAAAAACUGUGACUGUGUAAAAAAAAAAGAGGGUAUGAGAGAUACGUUUUCAAGUUAUGAUUGUUGCACAUAUAUAGUGGUCUGGCUGUGUUGCACAUAGUGGUCUGGCUGUGUUGCACAUAGUGGUCUGGCUGUGUUGCACACGGUCACACUUUAGUAUUAUUGGAAGAACAGUUAUGUUCUAUAUGUAUGUUAUGGAUUUGUUUCACACCAUAAAAAUGUAUUUUGGUUGAGUAACUUUAAGAUAAAAUAUUCGACCAUCUCUGGC